CUAAAAAACCCCCUUUAUCAAUUUUAAGACCUCAAAUCAGGUGGGACUACCCGCUGAACUUAAGCAUAUC
rnacentral:rRNA from 1 species